AGGGAGUUGGGUCAUCCGGAACCCACACACAUCCAGGCCCCCACACACAUCCAGGCCCCCUCUGAGAGCCCUGGGGUUUGUUGCCAAAGAAGAAUGUUCAUCAAUAAUUGUUCAUCAGGCCAAGUUAAAUAAGGAUAAUGGCAUGAAAGAAUAAGAAUAAGAAUAAGACCCAAAUGGAGACAUCGACCACAGACACCUGCCAAAAAUCUUACACUGAAACCUGAUUUCUUUGGUAAAAUGCUGCCUUAUCUUGCUGAUGAUUUCAUGGAAAAUAAAAGGAAAGAAGGUUAAAAAAUAUCAAGAAAAAAUUGUGAAUAAAUCAGAGGAGAAAUGGAUAUUACCCAG
rnacentral:lncRNA from 13 species